CGGUCAGUAGGUUGGUCGUGCCACCGGUACGUACUGGUCUCACUGAUUCCUCCUUCCUGAAGAACCGUAAUGCCAUUAAUUUGGUGUUGCGGGGAAACAGGACUGUUACUUCGAAAAAAUUAGAGUGUUUAAAGCAAGCUAACGCUAGAAUACAUUAGCAUGGAAUAAUGAAAUAGGACGAUCGAUCCUAUUUUGUUGGUUUCUAGGAUUGACGUA
rnacentral:rRNA from 1 species